GAUGAACGCUGGCGGUAUGCUUAACACAUGCAAGUCGAACGGGACUCUUCGGAGUUCAGUGGCGGACGGGUGAGUAACGCGUGAGAAUCUGCCUUUUGGUCCGGGACAACCACUGGAAACGGUGGCUAAUACCGGAUGCGCCUGAGGGUGAAAGAUUAAUUGCCAAAAGAGGAGCUCGCGUCUGAUUAGCUAGUUGGUGGGGUAAGAGCCUACCAAGGCGACGAUCAGUAGCUGGUCUGAGAGGACGAUCAGCCACACUGGGACUGAGACACGGCCC
rnacentral:rRNA from 1 species